GAUGAACGCUGGCGGCGUGCCUAAUACAUGCAAGUCGAGCGAACGGACGAGAAGCUUGCUUCUCUGAUGUUAGCGGCGGACGGGUGAGUAACACGUGGAUAACCUACCUAUAAGACUGGGAUAACUUCGGGAAACCGGAGCUAAUACCGGAUAAUAUUUUGAACCGCAUGGUUCAAAAGUGAAAGACGGUCUUGCUGUCACUUAUAGAUGGAUCCGCGCUGCAUUAGCUAGUUGGUAAGGUAACGGCUUACCAAGGCAACGAUGCAUAGCCGACCUGAGGGGGUGAUCGGCCACACUGGAACUGAGACACGGUCCAGACUCCUACGGGAGGCAGCAGUAGGGAAUCUUCCGCAAUGGGCGAAAGCCUGACGGAGCAACGCCGCGUGAGUGACGAAGGUCUUCGGAUCGUAAAACUCUGUUAUUAGGGAAGAACAUAUGUGUAAGUAACUGUGCACAUCUUGACGGUACCUAAUCAGAAAGCCACGGCUAACUACGUGCCAGCAGCCGCGGUAAUACGUAGGUGGCAAGCGUUAUCCGGAAUUAUUGGGCGUAAAGCGCGCGUAGGCGGUUUUUUAAGUCUGAUGUGAAAGCCCACGGCUCAACCGUGGAGGGUCAUUGGAAACUGGAAAACUUGAGUGCAGAAGAGGAAAGUGGAAUUCCAUGUGUAGCGGUGAAAUGCGCAGAGAUAUGGAGGAACACCAGUGGCGAAGGCGACUUUCUGGUCUGUAACUGACGCUGAUGUGCGAAAGCGUGGGGAUCAAACAGGAUUAGAUACCCUGGUAGUCCACGCCGUAAACGAUGAGUGCUAAGUGUUAGGGGGUUUCCGCCCCUUAGUGCUGCAGCUAACGCAUUAAGCACUCCGCCUGGGGAGUACGACCGCAAGGUUGAAACUCAAAGGAAUUGACGGGGACCCGCACAAGCGGUGGAGCAUGUGGUUUAAUUCGAAGCAACGCGAAGAACCUUACCAAAUCUUGACAUCCUUUGACAACUCUAGAGAUAGAGCCUUCCCCUUCGGGGGACAAAGUGACAGGUGGUGCAUGGUUGUCGUCAGCUCGUGUCGUGAGAUGUUGGGUUAAGUCCCGCAACGAGCGCAACCCUUAAGCUUAGUUGCCAUCAUUAAGUUGGGCACUCUAAGUUGACUGCCGGUGACAAACCGGAGGAAGGUGGGGAUGACGUCAAAUCAUCAUGCCCCUUAUGAUUUGGGCUACACACGUGCUACAAUGGACAAUACAAAGGGCAGCGAAACCGCGAGGUCAAGCAAAUCCCAUAAAGUUGUUCUCAGUUCGGAUUGUAGUCUGCAACUCGACUACAUGAAGCUGGAAUCGCUAGUAAUCGUAGAUCAGCAUGCUACGGUGAAUACGUUCCCGGGUCU
rnacentral:rRNA from 1 species